GACAGAGGGGGCAAGCGUUGCUCGGAAUCACUGGGCGUAAAGGGCGCGUAGGCGGGAUGGCAAGUCAGUCGUGAAAUCUCUCGGCUCAACCGAGAAACGUCGGCUGAUACUGCCGUUCUUGAGGGAUGCAGAGGAGACUGGAAUUCCCGGUGUAGCGGUGAAAUGUGUAGAGAUCGGGAGGAACACCGGUGGCGAAGGCGGGUUGCUGGGCUGACACUGACGCUGAUGCGCGAAAGCCAGGGGAGCGAACGGG
rnacentral:rRNA from 1 species